UAAAUGCAGUUGCAUAUGGUACAUUUCUAAUACACACUGGAUAUAUAAAAAUGCAGUUGCAUUUGGUACAUUUCUAAUACACACUGGAUAUAUAAAUGCAGUUGCAUUAGGUACAUUUCUAAUACACACUGGAUAUAAAUGCAGUUGUAUUAGGUACAUUUCUAAUA